rnacentral:tRNA from 1 species
UGUUCUUUGGCGAAGAUGGUCAACGCGCUCUGUCUAGCGAAUUGAGAAGACGUGAGUUCAAAUCCCAUCAGAACUA